rnacentral:misc_RNA from 1 species
GAUGAAGAACGUAGCGAAAUGCGAUAGGUAGUGUGAAUUGCAGAUGUAACGUGAAUCAUCGAAUCUUUGAACGCAAAUUGCACUCUCUGGUAUUCCGGGGAGUAUGCCUGUUUGAGGGUCGUCAAAUCACCAUCGAAAUUCAUUUGCUUUUGUAAAUGUUUAUCGGAUUUGAGCCGUCUUUUUUUAUUUUAAUUAAAGUGGCUUAAAAUGUAUUUUUUUGGUAUCGAAAAACGUUAUUUUACGAUCAAAUUGAUUAAAAAAACAAACGUUUUCGAAUGCCGCCUUUUUAAUGUAAUACGUUUGACUUUGAUGUUAAUCAUAGUUUCAUUCGUAUACGAUUUUUUAAUUUUUGACCUCAAAUCAGGUAAGAACACCCGCUGAACUUAAGCAUAUCAAUAAGCGGAGA